ACUGUUGUGCUCUGAUCGAUAACGUUGAACGCUUCUACGAUGCAUCAGGCAGCCAGGGAAGGAGUGCAGCGGAAAUAAAUGAGGCCAAUAACUGCUCGCUCUACCCCGUCUUGAAUGGCGAAAAGGAGAGCUGAUGGAUGGAUAAGCCGCCCAUCGCAUUUCCAUUCCUCUGAAAGCUCAGUGAGCGAGUAGGUGGGCUUUGGCUGCCGCUGUGGCAGCGAACGAGAGAGAGAGAGAGAGAGAGAGAGAGAGAGGGGGGGGGGAGACAUACGUGAAAGCCGGGGGAAGUACGUCUCCUUCAGCCCGGAGUUCCCAAACUGCCCCUCGAUCUCGAGUCAUGUCUUAAGAAGGUCGAGGGCUUUAUAGUCAUUUCGAGAGUUGAACUGUAACAGGGUCGGGCGUGUUGUGCUGGGUUUUGUAUGUAUAUAAAGUAGGAAGAGAAAGUGGAGGAGAGAUGAGAGCGAGUUGUUGUCUUCCUCAGACACUCUUUUCUUUCUGGGCGGAAGGAGAGGACGAGGCAAAGGCAUUAUUAUUAAAGCGCCGGCAUGAGAGGAGGGUGAAGGUGAAGGAGAAGGAAGAAAGUGGCCGGAAGAAAGCUAAGCUAAGCUAAGCAAAGCAGCAGUGCUUCGUUAGAGGAUUUGUUGGUCUGCCAACUGAGGAGGAAGGAAAGAGAUGGAAAUGGUGCAAGUGGCCGCCAGGGCAGCCAUCGUGCGGUGGACGGGUGAGGGGAGGUCUCACGACAGUGCAGAUGAAGACGAAGGUGAGGAUGCCCAAAGUGCGGGCAAUGCUCCCCUGUUUUGAGGUUCGUGAGUUCGUUCAUGGGUUCUGUGAUAUUGGCAUAAGCGGCUCAAUCACUCUUCUUUCUUCUUCUUCUUCUUUGUUUCUUUUGGCUACUCUUGCUCACAUUACCAACAUUUGGUUCUGUAAUCGCCUCUUGUUUCCGUCGCCAAAUCCUGUAACAUUGUCUUCUCCUUUGCUGCUGCUGCUGCUGCUGCUGCUGUUGCUGGUGGUGGUGGUGGUGGUGGAAAGAAGGGGAUGGGACAGUGGAUGGUUGGCCUGGGUUGUCUCGCUUGGCAGCAUCAUGGUCAUCAUGCCACCCCCUCCUUUCCCACAUCUUCUCCCCUUUUGUAUUGUGGGAUGUUUUGUUUGGUUUCUUUCUCUUUGUCCCUUGUUGAUUGGAUGCUCUGGUUGGCUAACAUUAGCAAAAAUAUUUUAGACCCACAUUGCUGCCUAUGUUAUCCAUGUGUAUCUCAAGCACACCACAAGGUGGUGAAAGGGGACACCAAUCUCUCUCUCUCUCUCUCUCUCUCUCUCUCUCUUAGGCUCAUCCUGUGUUUGCAUCUUUUGUCACCCAAACCACCCUCGUGUCAGCUGCCACAUUUGUAGUAGGGGGCUACUGGACAAACUUCUCUUCUCUGCUUCUGCUCUCUCUUUCUUGUGAGCUGUGGGCUUUAGCCCUUGGGGAUAGAGCAGAAAGCAGCAGUCCUCUGGGAACUGCCUUCUCUGUGUUGAUCAAUCUCUCUAGCCAUUUGCUCUACUACUGCAAAUGGUCUGAGAAGAAUGGCAUGGUUUAGUCUGCAAUGCAAUUAAUUGGGUGUUUCCUCUUACCCUUUGAAUGCAUGAGGUGUGUGCAGUAAGUACAGACUUUAAGACACUGGUCACCAUGGCAGUAGUGACAGCAGCUGCUAUUGUAAUGUCUGCCCACUGUUUGCUAGAAAAAAGUUGCAAGAGCUAUGUGGAUGGAAAUCAGUGCAGUCUGA